rnacentral:rRNA from 1 species
UCUGGUUGAUCCUGCCAGUAGUGAUAUGCUUGUUUCAAAGAUUAAGCCAUGCAUGUCUAAGUAUAAGCGAACUUAUACAGUGAAACUGCGGAUGGCUCAUUAAAACAGUUUGAACUUAUUUGAUGAAUGUAUGAGGAUACUACUUGGAUAACCGUAGUAAUUCUAGAGCUAAUACAUGCAACGACGCCCGACCGUUUCACUACGGAAGGGCUGUAUUUAUUGGAUACCAAAACCAUCCUUCCCUCGGGAAGUUUUGUUUGAUGAUUCACAAUAACUGAUCGGAUCGCCACUGUGGUGGCGACAGGUCAUUUAACAUUCUGCCCUAUCAGCUUUCGAUGGUUGUGUAGUGGACAACCAUGGCCAUAACGGGUAACGGAGAAUCAGGGUUCGAUUCCGGAGAAGGAGCUUGAGAAUUGGCUACUACAUCUAAGGAAGGCAGCAGGCGCGCAAAUUACCCAAUCCCGAUUCGGGGAGGUAGUGACAAAAAAUAACAAUACCGGGCCUUUUUGGGCUUGGUAAUUGGAAUGAGGGAGAGUUAAACGGACCAUCGAGUAUCCAUUGGAGGGCAAGUCUGGUGCCAGCAGCUGCAGUAAUACCAGCUCCAAUAGCGUAUAUUAAAGUUGUUGCAGUUAAAAAGCUCGUAGUUGGACUUGUGUGCGCUGUCCGCGGGUGGCCUGCGCCCAAAAGGGCGUUUCGGUUCGGCCCCGGUGGCGCCUUGAAAUCUGCAGCUGGGGGGACGUUGGCCUCAACUGGUCGGCGACCGCACGCCGGCUGCUCGGUUACUGUGAGAAAAUUAGAGUGUUCAAGGCAGGCAUUGGGUGCAAUUGAAUACAUUAGCAUGGAAUAAUAAAAUAUGGCUCCUGCCGUAUUUUGUUGGUUUUGACUGGUGGGAGUAAUGAUCGAUAGGGACGGUUGGGGGUGCUAGUAUUGAGCGGCCAGAGGUGAAAUUCAUGGAUUCGCUCAAGACUAACUUAUGCGAAAGCAUUCACCAAGGACGUCCUCUUUAAUCAAGAACGAAAGUUGGGGGAUCGAAGACGAUCAGAUACCGUCGUAGUCUCAACCAUAAACUAUGUCGACUUGGGAUCGGCGGUAGUUUUUUCAUUAAGACACUGUCGGGACCACGGGAGAAAUCAAAGUGUCUGGACUCUGGGGGAAGUAUGGUCGCAAGGCUGAAACUUGAAGGAAUUGACGGAAGGGCACCACCAGUAGUGGAGCCU